rnacentral:rRNA from 1 species
AUGUCAGUGACAGAACGGCAGGCUGCCGUACGUCAGAGGAUCCUCGUCCUUUCCUACGAUCCCGUGGUCGCUGCCGCUGCUCCAUCCGACCUCCCUCAUCAGCCGCCGCCGACACUACGGCUCCUCCAUCCACCGACUCUGUCUGUGCAAGCGACCAGUUUCCUUCCGCCCCGACCUUCUCCACUGUCUCCCAGUUCAUCAUCCGUCCCUUGCUGCUCGAGGUGCUCAUCUGCCCAUGCCGCGAGGAAGCAACGUGAGGAGGAGAGACCUCGUCUCGAGAAGCCGCGGGAGGAGGGGCUCAAGCAGAGAAGAGCAGAUGCCAGCCAGGUAGUCGGCUUGGCUCGACGCCUUCCUUCGUGUCCGGGCCGCGGCAGACCCUAG